rnacentral:misc_RNA from 1 species
UCUCCGUAGGUGAACCUGCGGAGGGAUCAUUACUGAGUGAGGGUCUCCGGGCCCGACCUCCAACCCUUUUGUGAACCACCUCGUUGCUUCGGCGUGCCGAGGGUUAAGACUCUCGCCGGACUUCCAGUCGGGAGCGUGCACGUCGACGGCCUCACUAAACUAUUGAACCCAAAACCUGUCGUCUGAACAUUUGUGAUUACUAUAAUCAAAAACAAAACUUUCAACAACGGAUCUCUUGGUUCUGGCAUCGAUGAAGAACGCAGC